UUGUUUCGAAAAAAAAACAGAAGCAGAAACGUUAGCUGAACAUUUCUGCCACUCUUUUUUUCUAAAUAACAAUAUUUCUUCAAUCCAAAACUCUCAUAUGCACUUUUUUAUACUGAAACAACUUCUUUGUUUCAUAACUUUUUUCUCUCGCACGGUAGAUUUUUUGUCCCAAUAGUGAUUUUAUCUUGUGUAUCGCGUAUUGCACAUCCAUGUUCACGAGAAAACUAAGAUUCAAUACAGAUACUGUGUGGAAGGAUUAAACCGAUAUCGAGUAAUUCGUCACAAGCGUGCAGGGAGUCAGUCAGUCAGUCCUUUGAUGAUGAUGAUGAUGAUGAAUCUAUGGUGGUCCCAGAUUAGCUAAAAGUAGACGAGGGUUGGAUGCGGUGGAGGGGUGAAACGCAGCCGAAAUUUUGAUAGCUGGCUGUUGGCUGGCUAGGAUGCCAAGUGCCCUGUUUUUUUCAAACACGGAAUUUGUCAAUCGUGGAGAUAUUGCUCAGACAAAGAUUUUAGCUUAAUUUUGAAAAUAAUUGUAAUUGUGUUUUUUUUUAUGUUCGGGAACCUUCAAGUUACAAAAGAACUUAGUGCCUAGGUCAAGAAAGACCUGAAUAGUAAUACAAUUCAUCGAAAUGAAAAAAAAUCUUCCGGCUGAGUGCCGGCCAGUUGACCCCGCUGGAAGAGGCUGGAUCGAUAGACGACGACGCACGGUUGGUCGUUAGCGGAGCUGUUUGGCAACUGGAAGCAGCAGAAAGUCAUCGAAUCGGAGGCAUGACAUUUCAUUGUCCGAGAAGUGCCUGGCCUUUGUAACAUGAUGGUUUGUCUUUAAGUAGGUUGGCCAUUUGACCCGGAGAAGUAGGCGUUGGUUGAAUGUGACAGACGUGUUUUUGGAGGUGGAAAUUUUGUAUUACCCACCAAAAUUUCAACAAUUUAAUAUAAUUUCAUCUGUAAAACGCCGUUCUAUCGGACUGUCUGGUGUUGUGAAAAAUGUGAUCAUGAAUGGGAGUUGAGAAAUCAAGAGGAAAUUAGAGCAUAGUUUGAGAAGUUGUGAUCUGUGGAAGAAAUGUAUUUGGGCGGAACCGUUAUUCGUUAGCUGUGAUUUUACAAUUUCUUAGUUGAGUUCUGAUCGAAACCUGUAGAAAAUUUGGUUAUUUGUUCAUGUAGUUAAUACA